GUUGUAAGGUUAAGAAAUUAAGCGUACACGGUGGAUGCCUAGGCAAUCAGAGGCGAUGAAGGACGUGUUAAUCUGCGAAAAGCGACGGUGAGCCGAUAAAAGGCGCUAUAGCCGUUGAUGUCCGAAUGGGGAAACCCAGUGCAGGCGACUGCACUAUCAUCUGAUGAAUACAUAGUCAGAUGAGGCGAACCGGGAGAACUGAAACAUCUAAGUACCCCGAGGAAAAGAAAUCAACCGAGAUUCCCAAAGUAGCGGCGAGCGAAAUGGGAGUAGCCCAAGCGGGUAGCAUAAUGUAUUAGUGGAAGCGUCUGGAAAGUCGCACGAUAGAGGGUGAAAGUCCCGUACAUGAAAGUGCAUUAUGUGGAAGCUUAUAGAGUAGGGCGGGACACGUGAUAUCCUGUCUGAAGAUGGGGGGACCAUCCUCCAAGGCUAAAUACUCCUGAUUGACCGAUAGUGAACCAGUACCGUGAGGGAAAGGCGAAAAGAACCCCGGGAGGGGAGUGAAAUAGACCCUGAAACCGUGUACGUACAAUCAGUGGGAGCAU
rnacentral:rRNA from 1 species